rnacentral:rRNA from 1 species
GGGGCAGUACUAACAAGGAUUCCCCUAGUAACUGCGAGUGAAGCGGGAAAAGCUCAAAUUUAAAAUCUGGUGGUCUUUGGCCAUCCGAGUUGUAAUUUAGAGAAGCGUCUUCCGCGCUGGACCGUGCACAAGUCUCCUGGAAUGGAGCGUCAUAGAGGGUGAGAAUCCCGUCUUUGGCACGGAUGUACCAGGGCUUUUGUGAUGCGCUCUCGAAGAGUCGAGUUGUUUGGGAAUGCAGCUCAAAAUGGGUGGUGAACUCCAUCUAAAGCUAAAUAUUGGCGAGAGACCGAUAGCGAACAAGUACCGUGAGGGAAAGAUGAAAAGCACUUUGGAAAGAGAGUGAAACAGUACGUGAAAUUGUUGAAAGGGAAACGCUUGAAGUCAGUCGCGUCGACCGAGACUCAGCCUUGCCUCGGCUUGGUGUACUUCUCGGCUGACGGGUCAGCAUCAAUUUUGCCCCUUGGAUAAUGGCGAGGGAAAUGUGACACCUUUACGGUGUGUUAUAGUCCUUCGUCGCAUGCAAGGGUCGGGAUUGAGGAACUCAGCACGCGCCCUCGGGCGUCGGGGCUUUGCCCACGAUACGUGCUUAGGAUGUUGGCGUAAUGGCUUUAAACGACCCGUCUUGAAACACGGACCAAGGAGUCUAACAUGCCUGCGAGUGUUCGGGUGGAAAACCCGUGCGCGCAAUGAAAGUGAAAGUUGGGACCUCUGUCGUGGAGGGCACCGACGCCCGGACCAGACCUUUUGUGACGGAUCUGCGGUAGAGCAUGUAUGUUAGGACCCGAAAGAUGGUGAACUAUGCCUGAAU